GCCCAUGUGGCUCAGUGGUAGAGCACUUCCUUGGUAAGGGAGAGGUCGGCAGUUCGAUCCUGCCCAUGGGCACCA
rnacentral:tRNA from 2 species